GUUUACUAAUUCUUUCUGAUCCUCAAUCAUGCUUGUUGGCUCAUUGUUUUGCUGAGUGUUAUGACAGAUUGUAAGAAAGGGAUGGAGAUGUCUAAUCUGAAGGAAUUUGUGUGUCACUGUGGAGAUAAUUCAUUUGUUAUUAGAUUUUACAUAGUGCUGCAACAUAUUCAGUGCAGACUGCACCUAUAAAUAGAGGAGGACUAAGGCCA
rnacentral:lncRNA from 1 species